ensembl:lncRNA
GCAGCAGUCACGCACCCCCUUGCAUUUUUGCCUCCCACAGUUGCACUCUUAUCUUUUCUGUUUCUCAUAAUGGCAGUGCCCAUCUGAAUAAUAUCAUGUUUUGAACAACCCAUGGAGAUCUUCCAUUUCUCUAUGGAGAAGGAUGUUGAAGCGACCUCUUGUCCUAUAAGGAGAUAGCCUUUCUUCUACCACGUGUCCUUUCUUUCUUAUUCUUGCCUUCAAAGUUAAUUCGCUUCCUCUGCAGAGUGACACGACUUUGGAGCCUACAGCUGUCCCAGAGAUCACCAGCAGAACCCACAGACACCAGAGUUCCUUCCCUGCAAAGAGGCAGUGUUAGUUAUUACGCCUCAGCUUCCAGCGCUGCUUUGCCUCCUGACACCACAAGUACCCCCACAUUUCCUGUGACCGAUCAGUUUGCAAUGUUUUACCCCUUGUAGAGGAGCUCUCAUCAUGCUGCCAACUGCAGUUCUCACAAAAUAGCUCUGAAGAUUUCAAUAACACAGAAUAUCAUCUUUUUUUGCUUCCUAAUAGCUGAGUAUGGCCCUCUAACUGAUAAGUACAAUGAAUGUACACAUACCUCCUUCAACUUUAUGUAUAUUGUUUGGUAGUCUUUGAGAACAUUUUUUUUCCUUUCUUCUUUUAAUUUUAUCUUUAUGUAUUAUCUGACUUUCUUUAGUAGCUUCUAUAUGAACUUUUCUUCAACUAAGUUUCAUUGAUUAUCCUUCUACAGCCUUUUCUUGUCUAUAUCCAUGCACAGUUCUUCUAAGCCUGAUAAACCUUAAAGUAUAAUUUUAAAAGAAAAAUAACUUUCUGUGCAAUGAGAAGUGUUUCAGAAAAUGUGGUUAAGAUUUAAUGUGUAUACAGCUCUGUAUGGGAACUGUUGAAUCAUAGCCUGAACCUCUGAUUGAUCACCUGAGGCAAGCACUGAGUCAGCCACGGGAGCACAGGUGAAUGCAAUUCACCUGUGUGACUGGAAGGGGGGGAGCCUGGCUCCACCUCUCCUAGACCCCAUUUAAGGGUUGACUGCCACUACAGAAGGAUAUCUCUCUGGAGAUUGCUCCUCGUGGAGUUUUCUUGUGAGCCUACAACACCAGUGUGACUUUUGCCAUUUAUUUCUGUUUAUCUUUUCCAGCAUGAUAAUCUUUCCAGCAAUAUGCUCUCAAAAGACCAGCCUAACUUCUUUGUAUACUUAUUGAUUGUACAUCUAUAUACUCACUGAGUAUACAAGUUCCUAUGUAGGAUAGUUUUCUUUUUCAUCAUCAUCUUUGUUUCUGAAGCAUUCAAGAGCCC